ACCCCGGAAGGGGAGUGAAAUAGAACCUGAAACCGUGUGCUUACAAGUAGUCAGAGCCCGUUAAUGGGUGAUGGCGUGCCUUUUGUAGAAUGAACCGGCGAGUUACGAUUUGAUGCAAGGUUAAGCAGUAAAUGUGGAGCCGUAGCGAAAGCGAGUCUGAAUAGGGCGUUUAGUAUUUGGUCGUAGACCCGAAACCAGGUGAUCUACCCUUGGUCAGGUUGAAGUUCAGGUAACACUGAAUGGAGGACCGAACCGACUUACGUUGAAAAGUGAGCGGAUGAACUGAGGGUAGCGGAGAAAUUCCAAUCGAACCUGGAGAUAGCUGGUUCUCUCCGAAAUAGCUUUAGGGCUAGCCUCAAGUGAUGAUUAUUGGAGGUAGAGCACUGUUUGGACGAGGGGCCCCUCUCGGGUUACCGAAUUCAGACAAACUCCGAAUGCCAAUUAAUUUAACUUGGGAGUCAGAACAUGGGUGAUAAGGUCCGUGUUCGAAAGGGAAACAGCCCAGACCACCAGCUAAGGUCCCAAAAUAUAUGUUAAGUGGAAAAGGAUGUGGCGUUGCCCAGACAACUAGGAUGUUGGCUUAGAAGCAGCCAUCAUUUAAAGAGUGCGUAAUAGCUCACUAGUCGAGUGACACUGCGCCGAAAAUGUACCGGGGCUAAACAUAUUACCGAAGCUGUGGAUUGUCCUUUGGACAAUGGUAGGAGAGCGUUCUAAGGGCGUUGAAGCAUGAUCGCAAGGACAUGUGGAGCGCUUAGAAGUGAGAAUGCCGGUGUGAGUAGCGAAAGACGGGUGAGAAUCCCGUCCACCGAUUGACUAAGGUUUCCAGAGGAAGGCUCGUCCGCUCUGGGUUAGUCGGGUCCUAAGCUGAGGCCGACAGGCGUAGGCGAUGGAUAACAGGUUGAUAUUCCUGUACCACCUAUAAUCGUUUUAAUCGAUGGGGGGACGCAGUAGGAUAGGCGAAGCGUGCGAUUGGAUUGCACGUCUAAGCAGUAAGGCUGAGUAUUAGGCAAAUCCGGUACUCGUUAAGGCUGAGCUGUGAUGGGGAGAAGACAUUGUGUCUUCGAGUCGUUGAUUUCACACUGCCGAGAAAAGCCUCUAGAUAGAAAAUAGGUGCCCGUACCGCAAACCGACACAGGUAGUCAAGAUGAGAAUUCUAAGGUGAGCGAGCGAACUCUCGUUAAGGAACUCGGCAAAAUGACCCCGUAACUUCGGGAGAAGGGGUGCUCUUUAGGGUUAACGCCCAGAAGAGCCGCAGUGAAUAGGCCCAAGCGACUGUUUAUCAAAAACACAGGUCUCUGCUAAACCGUAAGGUGAUGUAUAGGGGCUGACGCCUGCCCGGUGCUGGAAGGUUAAGAGGAGUGGUUAGCUUCUGCGAAGCUACGAAUCGAAGCCCCAGUAAACGGCGGCCGUAACUAUAACGGUCCUAAGGUAGCGAAAUUCCUUGUCGGGUAAGUUCCGACCCGCACGAAAGGCGUAACGAUUUGGGCACUGUCUCAACGAGAGACUCGGUGAAAUCAUAGUACCUGUGAAGAUGCAGGUUACCCGCGACAGGACGGAAAGACCCCGUGGAGCUUUACUGUAGCCUGAUAUUGAAAUUCGGCACAGCUUGUACAGGAUAGGUAGGAGCCUUUGAAACGUGAGCGCUAGCUUACGUGGAGGCGCUGGUGGGAUACUACCCUAGCUGUGUUGGCUUUCUAACCCGCACCACUUAUCGUGGUGGGAGACAGUGUCAGGCGGGCAGUUUGACUGGGGCGGUCGCCUCCUAAAAGGUAACGGAGGCGCUCAAAGGUUCCCUCAGAAUGGUUGGAAAUCAUUCAUAGAGUGUAAAGGCAUAAGGGAGCUUGACUGCGAGACCUACAAGUCGAGCAGGGUCGAAAGACGGACUUAGUGAUCCGGUGGUUCCGCAUGGAAGGGCCAUCGCUCAACGGAUAAAAGCUACCCCGGGGAUAACAGGCUUAUCUCCCCCAAGAGUUCACAUCGACGGGGAGGUUUGGCACCUCGAUGUCGGCUCAUCGCAUCCUGGGGCUGUAGUCGGUCCCAAGGGUUGGGCUGUUCGCCCAUUAAAGCGGUACGCGAGCUGGGUUCAGAACGUCGUGAGACAGUUCGGUCCCUAUCCGUCGUGGGCGUAGGAAAUUUGAGAGGAGCUGUCCUUAGUACGAGAGGACCGGGAUGGACAUACCUCUGGUGUACCAGUUGUCGUGCCAACGGCAUAGCUGGGUAGCUAUGUGUGGACGGGAUAAGUGCUGAAAGCAUCUAAGCAUGAAGCCCCCCUCAAGAUGAGAUUUCCCAACUUCGGUUAU
rnacentral:rRNA from 1 species